UACGGGGGGGGCAAGCGUUGUUCGGAAUUACUGGGCGUAAAGGGUUCGUAGGUGGCUUGCUAAGUCAGACGUGAAAUCCCUCAGCUUAACUGGGGAACUGCGUCUGAUACUGGAUGGCUUGAGUUUGGGAGAGGGAUGCGGAAUUCCAGGUGUAGCGGUGAAAUGCGUAGAUAUCUGGAGGAACACCGGUGGCGAAGGCGGCAUCCUGGACCAACACUGACACUGAGGAGCGAAAGCCAGGGGAGCAAACGGG
rnacentral:rRNA from 1 species